ACGCGUUGGGAGCUCUCCCAUAUGGUCGACCUGCAGGCGGCCGCGAAUUCACUAGUGAUUCGUAUUACCGCGGCUGCUGGCACGGAGUUAGCCGGAGCUUAUUCUCCCGGUACUGUCAUUAUCAUCCCGGGUAAAAGAGCUUUACAACCCUAAGGCCUUCAUCACUCACGCGGCAUUGCUGGAUCAGGCUUUCGCCCAUUGUCCAAUAUUCCCCACUGCUGCCUCCCGUAGGAGUCUGGGCCGUGUCUCAGUCCCAGUGUGGCUGAUCAUCCUCUCAGACCAGCUAAGGAUCGUCGCCUUGGUGCGCCUUUACCACACCAACUAGCUAAUCCUACGCGGGCUCAUCCCUCGGCGAUAAAUCUUUGGACUUACGUCGUCAUCCGGUAUUAGCAGUCAUUCCUAACUGUUAUUCCGAACCAAGGGGCAGAUUCCCACGCGUUACGCACCCGUGCGCCACUAAGGCCGAAGCCUUCGUUCGACUUGCAUGUGUUAGGCAUGCCGCCAGCGUUCGUUCUGAGCCAUGAUCAAACUCUAAUCGAAUUCCCGCGGCCGCC
rnacentral:rRNA from 1 species